rnacentral:rRNA from 1 species
CCUACGGGACGCAGCAGUGAGGAAUAUUGGUCAAUGGACGCAAGUCUGAACCAGCCAUGCCGCGUGCAGGAAGACGGCUCUAUGAGUUGUAAACUGCUUUUGUACGAGGGUAAACGCAGAUACGCGUAUCUGUCUGAAAGUAUCGUACGAAUAAGGAUCGGCUAACUCCGUGCCAGCAGCCGCGGUAAUACGGAGGAUUCAAGCGUUAUCCGGGUUUAUUGGGUUUAAAGGGUGCGUAGGCGGUCGGAUAAGUUAGAGGUGAAAGCCCGGGGCUCAACUUCGGAAUUGCCUCUGAUACUGUUCGGCUAGAGAGUAGUUGCGGUAGGCGGAAUGUAUGGUGUAGCGGUGAAAUGCUUAGAGAUCAUACAGAACACCGAUUGCGAAGGCAGCUUACCAAGCUACUUCUGACGUUGAGGCACGAAAGCGUGGGGAGCAAACAGGAUUAGAUACCCCUGUAGUC